rnacentral:rRNA from 1 species
UACGGAGGGUGCAAACGUUGCUCGGAAUCAUUGGGCGUAAAGCGCACGUAGGCGGCCCAGCAAGUCGGGUGUGAAAGCCCUCGGCUUAACCGAGGAAGUGCAUUCGAAACUACUGAGCUUGAAUACUGGAGAGGAUCGCGGAAUUCCCGGUGUAGAGGUGAAAUUCGUAGAUAUCGGGAGGAACACCAGUGGCGAAGGCGGCGAUCUGGGUAGAUACUGACGCUGAGGUGCGAAAGCGUGGGGAGCAAACAGG